UCGCCUGUUUAUCAAAAACAUGGCUCUUUGUAAAAUAAACNUAAAGAGUCCAACCUGCCCGGUGAUUUUUUUUAACGGCCGCAGUAUAUUAACUGUGCUAAGGUAGCAUAAUAAUUUGUUCUAUAAUUGAGGACUGGAAUGAAUGGUUUCACAAGAACAAAGCUGUCUCUUUCUCACUUAAUAGAAUUUUACUUUCAGAUGAAAAGGUCUGAAUAAAAUUAAAAGACAAGAAGACCCUAUCGAGCUUAAAAAAAAUUAAUAGAAUAAACUAAUAUUUUAUAAAAAGCAGCUAUUAUCUAAUUUUGGUUGGGGCGACUUAGGAACCAUACAAACUUCUUUAACUACAUAAUACUAUACCAGUGUUGAUCCAAAAAUUUUGAUUAAUGGAAAUAGUUACCGUAGGGAUAACAGCAUUAUCUUCUUUGAGAGUUCUAAUCGAAAAGAAGGUUUGUGACCUCGAUGUUGGACCAGAAUAUCCUAAAGGUGCAGAAGUCUUUAAGGGUUGG
rnacentral:rRNA from 1 species